rnacentral:rRNA from 1 species
ACGUGGCCUAACCCUUUGUGGGGGGGAGCGUGUGAAGGUGGGGCUGGCGAUUGGGACGAAGUCGUAACAAGGUAGCCGUACCGGAAGGUGCGGCUGGAUCACCUCCUUUCUAAGGAG